CGCGUCCUUACUCUUUUACGUGGGAUAUGAUUUAUGAGCCACACUCAUAGAAAGCCUCUUUUUCUUAUCUCUUCUUCAGAUCUGAAAAGCUUAGUGAUCGUCUUGAUCUUGCUGAUGUUAUCCAUGGCUUCUUCUUCAUCUCUGUCUCGCAGUUGGUUGUAUCAAGUCUUUCUGAGCUUCCGUGGUGUAGACGUGCGCAAAGGCUUUCUUAGUCACGUUCGGAAAGGGCUCGAAAGCAAAGGAAUCAUAGCUUUUGUUGAUGACGAGAUGGAGCGAGGCGAAUCUGUCGGUCCCCUGCUUGUAGGAGCGAUCAGACAAUCAAGGGUUGCUAUUGUCUUGCUCUCCAGUAACUACGCUUCUUCAAGCUGGUGUCUGGAUGAGUUAGUGGAGAUCAUGAAGUGCAGAGAUGAGUAUAAAAAACCAGUGCUGCCCAUUUUCUACAAAGUGGAUCCAUCUGAUGUUAGGAAACAGAAAGGAGAUUUUGGAAAAGUCUUUGAUGAAACCUGUUUGGGAAAAACAGAAGAGGUGAAAGAGACAUGGAGGAAAGCUUUGAAGGAUGUCGCGGGUAUAGCUGGUUAUGACAACUGUGACAGUGAAGCUGAUUUGAUCAACAAAGUUGCCUCAGAUGUCACGGCUGUGUUGGGUUUUACACCAUCAAAAGACUUUGAUAACUUUGUUGGCAUCGAACGUCGAAUCAUAGAUAUAAAAUCGAAGUUCAUCCUACAAUCGGAACAAGUUAAGAUGAUUGUGCUUGUGGGUCCUGCCGGGAUUGGGAAGACGACCACUGCCAGAGUUUUAUACAACCAACUCUCUCCUGGUUUUCCAUUCAGCACGUUUUUGGAGAAUAUCAGAGGAAAUUAUGAGAAGCCUUGUGGUAACGACUAUUCGCUGAAGUUGCGUUUUCAUCAAAAUUUGUUGUCUCAACUACUCAACCAAAAGGAUAUUGUGGUUGGUCACUUAGGAGUGGCUCAAAAUAUGCUGAGUGACAAAAAGGUGUUGGCUGUUCUUGAUGAAGUGGAUAACUUGUGGCAACUCCAGGAAAUGGCAAAGCAGCGCAAAUGGGUUGGUCCGGGAAGUAUUAUUAUCAUUACAACCGAAGAUAUAAAGCUUCCCAAGGCACUUGGACUUGGGACCGGUCAUAUCUACAAGAUGGAAUUUCCAACUAGCUAUGAGUCUCUUCAGAUCUUUUGCCAAUAUGCUUUCGAUCAGAACUCUCCAUAUCAUGGUUUUGAAGAGCUUGCUAGGGAAGUUACCUGGCUUGCUGGUAAUCUUCCUCUAGGUCUGAGAGUUAUGGGAUCGUAUCUACGAGGAAUGUCCAAGGAGUACUGGAUAAAGGCACUACCAAGGCUCAGGUCUAGCCUUAACACAGAAAUUGAAUCAACUCUAAGAUUUAGCUAUGACGCCUUAAGUGAUAAAGAUAAAGCUCUUUUCCUGCAUAUUGCAUGUUUCUUUUCUCGUGUGUACUGCAAAGUUGAUAGCGUUAAGAGGUAUCUUGAAAAAAGUGGUUUGGACGUCGACCAUGGGCUUGAUGUCUUAGCCCAUAAAUCUCUUAUAUCUAUAGAUUACAGUGGAUACGUAAAGAUGCAUAGUUUACUGCAACAAUUGGGUAGAGAAAUUGUCAAGAAACAGUCUUUGAAAGAGCGACAGUUCUUGAUGGAUGCCAAGGAGAUUUCUGAUUUACUUGAAGAAAAUACUGUUAAUGGAGAAGUUCUGGGAAUAAUGUUGGAUGCUUCAAAUCAGAGCGAGGAAGUCCAUAUAAGUAAAAGCGCUUUCGAAGGGAUGAAUAGUCUCCAGUUUCUAACAGUCUACUCUGAUAAAUUAUGCAUACCCGAAGGCCUCAUCUGUCUUCCCGAAAAACUCAGAUUGCUACGUUGGAACUCCUGUAAAUUGAGAUUUUGGCCUUCCAAGUUCUCUGCCGAGUUUCUUGUCAAACUUAUCAUGCCAAAUAGCAAGUUUGAGAAGCUUUGGGAGGGAAUAAAACCUCUCCAUUGCCUCAAGCUGAUGGAUUUGCGUAACUCUUGGUAUCUGAAAGAGAUUCCAGAUCUCUCAAAUGCAACGAGUCUUGAGGAAUUAGAUCUCCAUGGCUGCACAAGUUUGUUAGAGAUCACAAGCUCUAUUGGCAAUGCCACCAAGCUUAAAAAAUGCGAUCUUAGCGAUUGUUUGCUUUUGAAGGAGCUCCCCUCUUCUAUCAGUAGGUUAAUCAAUCUCAAGGAAUUAGACCUCUGUGGUUGCGAGAGUUUAAAAGCACUCAGUGUUUUCUCGAGUUUGGAAAAACUCAGUGGUUGUUCGAGUUUGAAAGAACUCAGUCUGACCCAUACUGCGAUAGAGGAAGUGCCAUUAUCAAUGAGCACUUGGUCUUGUCUUUAUAAAUUGAAUAUGUCAGAAUGUAGAAACCUCAAGGAGUUCCCUAAUGUUCCAGACAGCAUUGUAGAGUUGGUGUUGUGCAAGACAAGGAUAGAAGAGGUUCCUUCAUGGAUCGGGAAUCUGUUUCGUCUCCGUAAACUAAUUAUGUAUGGAUGCAAGAAGCUGAAAACUAUAUCUCCAAACAUUUCCAAGUUGGAUAAUCUUGAGUUUCUUGGUCUACGUAAAGAUGGCGAAUAUGAGUAUGAUGAUGAAUUUGUCGGAGAAUCUGGUUUAAAAUUAUUUGAAGCAGUUAUUAAGUGGGGACCUGACUUGAAUCACAGUUGGAAAUUACGAUCAGACUUCAGAGUUCACCAUAUUUUACCGAUAUGUCUACCCAAGAAGGCUUUUACAUCUCCAGUGUCAUUAUGUUUACGUUGUGUUGGUUUGAAGACUAUUCCAGAUUGCAUCAGACGUCUCUCUGGACUAAGUAAGCUUGUCAUCACAAUGUGCAGAAAGCUCCGAGCACUUCCACAGCUUCCAGAUUCCCUUAUAUCUAUUAAUGCACACGGUUGUGAAUCCUUGGAGAGUAUAGACUCCUCCUCUUUUCAAAAUCCAGAUAUUUGCCUAAACUUUUAUGGCUGUUUCUACCUGAAUCAAAAAGCCAGAAAGAUCAUCGAGACAUCAGCUUGCAAAUAUGCGCUCUUACCUGGUAGAAAAGUGCCUGCACAUUUCACUCAUCGAGCUACUUCAGAUUCCCUAACGAUCAAUUUGACUCCAACACCUCUGCCUUCAUCCAUCAGAUUCAAAGCUUGCAUCUUGCUGCCAAGACACUCUCGUUUGGGUACUGUGUCUUGUAGUGUCAGCGGUAAACAGAAUGACCUCACUGUGGAAUAUGGAUCAAACCAGCUCCAUCAUAUGCCAUAUAUCAAUGAACCUGAAGUCCAUCUGUAUAUAUUUGAAGAUUCUUUUAGUCUAAACCAGGAUUACCCUGAAACUGAAGAAACCACUUUCAGAAAGCUUUCUUUUGUGUUCAGACUCCAUGAUGAAAACGUGAAGAUCAAAGGCUGCGGUGUACAACUUUUGGAAGUCCCUCAUUGUAUUACUGAUGAAAACGCAGAUAAUUGUAAUGAUGAUAAUAAUGAUGGUGAUGGUGAUGCUGGUGAUGGUGAUGAAACUGAUGAUGAUGGUGAAGAACAAGAAUACGAAAGUGAUGCUUAUGACAGAAGAUUUGACUAUUCCCACCCAAAUCAAAAAUGGAAAAAUCUCAUCCGGACAUCAGAUUGCGAAUCCGCGCUUGUAGAGGGUGUAGAAGUGCCUGCAGACUUCACUCACCAAGCUACUUCAGGUUCCCUAACGAUUAAUAUAACUCCAAGGUCUCUUCCUUCAUCCGUCAGAUUCAAAGCUUGCAUCUUGCUGUCAAGAGACAAAAUUAAUCUCGAGGAUUACUAUGGUAACGAUAAUGAAGACGGUGUGCCUUUUAACUAUGAUGACGAUGAGGAUGAGGAUGAUGAAGAGGAUGAGAAUUUAUUGAUGCGUGUGUCUUGUAGCUUCAUGGGGGAGCAGAAUGGCCUCACUGUCUCAUAUGGAUCAAACAAGCACGAUAUGCCUUAUCUAUAUCGAUAUGAAGACUAUCUGUAUACAUUCGAAGAUUCUUUCUGUCUAGACCAGUAUUUCCCUGAAGCCACUUUCAGCAGUCUUAUGUUUCAGUUCGAAGUCUGUUAUAAGAUCUGGAAAAUAAAAGCCUGCGGUGUACAACUUUUGAGGGAUGAAGAAAAUGCAGAUGAUGAUGAUGGUAAAAAAGAAUCCAAAAGUGUUCCUGAAGGCAGCAAAGAGUCUGAAGUUGUCAUUUCUCAUGUGGAAGAGGCUCCCCUGCGACCAACACAUGGAGUUGCGCAAAGAACUUCAUGGUUAAGUUGCUGUGGUUUGUUUGACGUGAUGACAGGAUCCAGUAGAUAACCUCAGGAAACAGAAAGGAGAUUUUGGAAAAGUCUUUGAUGAAACCUGUGUGGGAAAAACAGAAGAGGUGAAGCAAGCAUGGAGGCAAGCUUUGAAAGAUGUCGCUGGUAUAGCUGGUUACCACUCUAGCAACUGUGACGGCUGUGCUGGGUUUUACACCAUCAAAAGUUAGCUAUUGCAGGCUUUUGAAGGAGCUACCCUCUUCUAUGGGUAGGUAACAAUGACGCUGGCUUUUAUGAUGCUGGGAUCGACACAAACAUAGAAGCGAAAAAUGAAACUGAAGAAGGAGAAGAAUCUGGAAGUGAUGAGGACGCAGGCACAAAGGAGCAUGAAACCAAAGAGGUUAAGCCUCGUCUAAGUAAGUGGAAGUUGUGCUGUUUUAGGUAAUGGUGCUCGAGUUUAUAUGUAUGCUCUCGCAUACCAUCAUGAGCGAACCUGUAGCCAUAACUUCUAGGCCGGUUUGACAUCGCCAAGAAACUGAGUGAUUGUGUGUGUUUUGUACGGAAACAGAUUAUGUGCUCAUAUUCAUAGAUUGUGUAUACAAACGUAUGUGUGCCUUUCUUCUAUUUUUUUUGCAAAUACAGUGACUGAUCGAUCGAAUUUU